rnacentral:rRNA from 1 species
CAGGCCUAACACAUGCAAGUCGAGCGGACCAUUCCUUCGGGGAUGGUUAGCGGCGGACGGGUGAGUAACACGUAGGCAACCUGCCUGUAAGAUCGGGAUAACUACCGGAAACGGUAGCUAAGACCGGAUAGCUGGUUUCUCCGCAUGGGGGAAUCAUGAAACACGGGGCAACCUGUGGCUUACGGAUGGGCCUGCGGCGCAUUAGCUAGUUGGUGGGGUAACGGCCCACCAAGGCGACGAUGCGUAGCCGACCUGAGAGGGUGAUCGGCCACACUGGGACUGAGACACGGCCCAGACUCCUACGGGAGGCAGCAGUAGGGAAUCUUCCGCAAUGGGCGCAAGCCUGACGGAGCAACGCCGCGUGAGUGAUGAAGGUUUUCGGAUCGUAAAGCUCUGUUGCCAAGGAAGAACGCCUCGGAGAGUAACUGCUCUGAGGGUGACGGUACUUAAGAAGAAAGCCCCGGCUAACUACGUGCCAGCAGCCGCGGUAAUACGUAGGGGGCAAGCGUUGUCCGGAAUUAUUGGGCGUAAAGCGCGCGCAGGCGGUCUUUUAAGUUUGGUGUUUAAGCCCGGGGCUCAACCCCGGUUCGCACUGAAAACUGGGAGACUUGAGUGCAGGAGAGGAAAGCGGAAUUCCACGUGUAGCGGUGAAAUGCGUAGAGAUGUGGAGGAACACCAGUGGCGAAGGCGGCUUUCUGGACUGUAACUGACGCUGAGGCGCGAAAGCGUGGGGAGCAAACAGGAUUAGAU